rnacentral:lncRNA from 1 species
AGUUUUCUCUGCGCAGACAGGAGACUUGUGGGGUUUCCAAGAACACUACUUACAGCAAAAAACUGGCAACAGGUAGAAGCUGGUACAGUAUCAUUUAUUUAAAACUCUUUGUCCCAUCGCAUGAUCAAUGAAAUCUGUCACUAGAAUCUGCACUGUACUCGUCUCUGUCCUAUUUUGUGCUUUGCUGAUAACUUCCCUAAUUCUCACUCUUAAAACAUCUAUAUUCAAAAGAAAGCAUCUUUGUCUGUAGGCAUUGAAAAGGUUGUCUAACAUGAGUCUAAACUCUAAAGUACAACACGUCCAAGAUAAAGAUUUCCACUACCUAGAUGCACAACACAUACAACUUUCUAGAAUAAUAAAAGAACGGAAAACUCGGUCGAAAGUCAAAUUCAACAUACAAAUUUUCCAACUGAAAUGGGAUUAGUUUCCUAAAAGACAACUACUUGAAAGGGAAAAUACCCGUAAUAAGUAUUACACAAUAUUGAGACACCUAACACAUUUUAAAAGCACUAUGUGAUAACUGAUAAAGAGUAAAGACGUGUCUUUAUAAUUGAACCAAAAAAUAUAUUGGUUUGAAAUAUCAGUUUAACUGCUGUCAGACGAGCCACCUGAGCCUCCUUUUCAUGGCCCAACAAGUGAUUUGAUAUAUAUAUAUAUACAGAGGGGAUCUGGUAUAUUUCUAUUUACUUCAAUUUACUGCAGAUCAUAAUACAAAUCAAAGCAACUAAAAUUUAAGCAAUUGACAUAUUUCAAGGGCCUAUGUAACAACUGACAAUCUAGCAUGCUAGUUAUAUAAGAAAAAAAAACACUUAAACAAAAUAGCAUCUAUAGAUUUAAGAGAGCACAUGAAGGGCAUAAAUAUAUAAAAAUUAUUACUGAAAAUAUAAUUGGAACUCUCUAAUGGAGUUCAGCUGAGAAAGAUUUGGGAAAUAGAAUCGGGAGAGAAAAUAGAAACGAAUUAGGAAUCUAUUUGAUCAAUCCUUACACAAGAGUCGUACUAAUUCCAGUUCAAUUAUAAAUCAAAAUUUUUAGGGUUUGUUCAAAAUUUACAGCCAAUUAAUCAUAUUCACCUAAAUUAAACAACAAAAGAAGAUAAAAGAGUAAGGGUGAGUCUUCAGAUGCUUACCCAGCGAGGAGAAGAAGAUGAGAUGACGCCACGACGUGAAGAAUCACAGCGGUGGUGGUGGUGGUGGUGGUGGGUAGUGGUGGUGGUGGAUACUAAUAAAAAUAGAGAGGGAGAAGAGUUGAGAGAGAGAGAGAGAUAGAUCUAGUUGCGGUGGUGAGGGUGAGAGAGAGAGAUGGAGUUUUCGGUUGCGGCAACCAUUAUCGAGAGAGAGAGAUCGAGUUAGGUUGUGUUUUCUGUUUUUGUUAUGUUAUAUAGUCUGGCGAAUAAUUUUGGCGAAUUCACGGUGAAUGAAAAAACACCUAUUUGGGUGGGUGGGCGAAAAAAUGGUGGAUUCGCCGAGUUUUUUUGGUGAAUGGGUGUAUUUUGACCAAAAAAUCCGGUGUAUAGAUAGUUGACUCCAAAUACGCCAAAUUCUCCGAAACUUUAUCAAACAUCAACAAAUACGGUGAAUCGCGGAGAAUCAGCUAUUCGCCACGGCGAACCGGUUAUCAAACAGGCCCUAAAGUACAAGUGAGAAAUGGUUCUUAGCGUGAGCAGAGCACCUUUGGGUGAUGGUUUUCUUAGCUACUAUGCAAGUCUACUGAUGGCAUGCAUUUCCCCUUGAAACUCAUCACAAUUACUGGUACGGAAACCAGAAGAUGGGGAAUACUAUGUACUUAUGUUCCUUAAUGGUGGACCCUUAUUUCUUCUUCAGUGCUUGUCAUAAAAUAUGGACUUGUUGCAAAGCAUGGGUUUUUGGUCUUCCAAACUUCAACGAGAAAUGUUAGUACAGCCGCAGUCCAUAGAUCCCUUACUAAUAAACUAUAGUGCUUGUAUUUUCCUUGUUUUCUCUAGCAUUACCAGUUCUCAUACACCACCUGAAAAAGACUGCACAACCAUAUAAAUAUAUAGUGAGACAACAUUCACCAGAUUAGCCACAAAAUGUGGCAAAUACCAAAAUGUGGUGUAUUUGUUAUUUGCCAAAAUUUUUUGCCUUCAUUCACCGAGAUUCGUCAAUUUGCCGUGUUUGAUAACCAAUCUGGCAAAUUCGUGGAAAACUCAUUUGCCAUAAUAUUUGUGUUUGAUAACAACUUCGGUGAACAUGGUAAAACUGAUUUGCCAUUUUCUCUUGUGUUUGAUAACUUUUGUGAACAUAAUAAAGUGGCAAAUCCAUUUUUAUAAAAAGCCCAUUAGGUAGCAUUGGGUCCAUGUAAGCCCAUGAAACUUUUUUUUUUUUUUUUUUUUCAUUUUUCUAUAUCCACAAGAUAGUAAAAUAGGUCUGACAAAAGCCCAUUAGGUAGCAUUGGGUCCAUGGGAAUCUGCUAAAGCACAUCAAUGGGAAUACUUCGAGUAUGUCUACAAGGAGAUGACCCUCUUUGGUUACCAGCUAGAUCAAAGCAGGGGAAAUCCCUCAUUUAUCAUUCUUCACUGAAAUGGUCUGUCACGCCACAGCUCAACAUAACUACAGAAGGGUUGUUAAUCUUGUAAAUAGCAUGGCACAUGCUUCAUUCCAUGUUAGUGAAAAGCAGUGGACAGAAAUUUUCAUGGGGUGUCAAGAUCGCAUUGGUAAAGGCGGAUUGCAAAAUUUGUUUUAUGAACUCUGCAAUAGCGACGUAGUGUCAGAAACAAAAUUCAAGUGAGCAGCCAACUUGUCUGUGGUGUGUGUUGUAAAUCUGUGUUUACCUUCCUGUUAAUGUAUCUAGUAGUACGUAUAUUUCAGCGUUGUCUUAUCAAACUGACAUCAAAAUUGUUGAUACCGUAUAUGUAAUUUACAUGCAGACAUUUCCACUAAAAAGUUUGCUGGUAAGACUAAGUAUAAAAUAGGGUGUUCGAAUGCUUCUAAGCUACACAGCCAGUAUCCAACUCGACCUAACCAUUUGUCAGAAACUCAGAACUCCAAAUUGGACAUUGCUCAAGCAAAGUUAUAUCUCGGCUUAUAAUACAAGUACACCUUGCCUCUAUAAAAUAAAAUGUAUAAGUCCUGCAUGGGACUCCAACAUUCAGUUUCAAAGGAAGCCAUCAUUGAGAUUUUGAUAAGCCUACAAUACUUUGCCAAGAAAAGCACACACUAGAGAAAAAGGAGAUUACAGAAUGAGAUUUUUAGUGAUAAAUUACACUCUUUGGAAUCUCAAAUAAAUGAGGUGUUCAUAAUUAUUACAUAAUAUAAACAGAGUUAAUGGGCUAACAACUUCUUGAUCUGUCUGAGGAUACAUUCACUCCAAAUAUACUGCACACUCCUCCAAAAACAAGCCUUUCUUCAAAAUACUGCACAAGAUUCAAACAGAAAGAUAUUCUGGGAUAAUCUAUCAUGGUUGGAAGUAAAAAUGGAACGGAAAGUAAUCAGAGAAUUUUUGUUUGCCCUUUACAUACAAGUCUGAAUAACAAAAGCAGAAAACCGUAGACAUGAAAAACAAGAUUGGAUAUUCAAAUGCAUAUGGAAGAUGACUUUCAAUAGGUUGAGACAUAAAUAAACUUACACUGAACAUUUACAAUUGCAGCGUCACGAAGAUAGCGGUCAUCCAACUUGCCACUGUAUCCACAGACAAUCAACAAAGAAUUCAAAUCAUUUACAGUUUUGUCCGCACAGUUACAAAAGACUUAAAAAAUCUCCAAUAUGAAUUCAAUUCAAACCACGUUUCCAAUACUUGAAUGAAAUGACAUGAAUAUUGAACCACGGUACUCUCAUGCACACUUGGUAAUUAAAAUACUACUACAUGUCUGUUGCAUCAACUGCAACAACCCACCGGCAAAUAUAAGGUAUAUGUUACCUAAUGUUACCUUGAGAACUGGUUCACUAUUCUUGUAACCAGCAGCAGAUUGCUUUGACAUAGUUGAUAUACAAUGGCGCUCCAUACGUGACAGUUUUCUCUGCGCAGACAGGAGACUUGUGGGGUUUCCAAGAACACUACUUACAGCAAAAAACUGGCAACAGGUAGAAGCUGGUACAGUAUCAUUUAUUUAAAACUCUUUGUCCCAUCGCAUGAUCAAUGAAAUCUGUCACUAGAAUCUGCACUGUACUCGUCUCUGUCCUAUUUUGUGCUUUGCUGAUAACUUCCCUAAUUCUCACUCUUAAAACAUCUAUAUUCAAAAGAAAGCAUCUUUGUCUGUAGGCAUUGAAAAGGUUGUCUAACAUGAGUCUAAACUCUAAAGUACAACACGUCCAAGAUAAAGAUUUCCACUACCUAGAUGCACAACACAUACAACUUUCUAGAAUAAUAAAAGAACGGAAAACUCGGUCGGAAGUCAAAUUCAACAUACAAAU